GCUUGGGUCUUGAGGGUGUGCUCCCCUCAAGGUCUCAGGUUCAAAUCCGAGUGUAUCAUUAGUUAACACAUAAUCUCCAUCAUCUAUCAUAUAAGAAAAUUCAAUGAUCUUCAAACUCCUAUUUUGCCCUUCUGUUCUAUUAUGCUGCCACAUGUAUGGUCUCAUAGAACUCUUUUUUGCUUUUUAACCAUCAGCUCAUAUUGUUUAAUGUUUACUACUUCUUCUACUUAAUAAACAAAAUAAAAAAAUGUUCCUAAUGUCUUUUUCUUUUCUUUCUAUAUUUCCUUUUCACUUUCUCAUUUCUUUCUCUUUCUACUUUCUCUUCCCUCUUCUGGUUUCACAUCAAUGUCUACUUUUUCUUUCUCUUUAGUUUGUUGGUUUAUGAACUCAUGUAUUUGUUUUAGAUCUUGCAGAAGCACUGCUUGAAUGCAAAGAAAAUGUUCAAGAUCUCUUAUGGUAUGUGCAAUAAAAGGUGCAGAUGAACUAAUCGAUGAACAACGACUAUUCCACUUUUUUUAUUUUCUACCACCUAUGUUGUGUCAAAUUACUAUGAAGGUUGAAGGAUGCAAAUGUUAGAGCUCGAAUCUCUCUCACAUGUUUCAUAUGUAUAAGGUUAGAGUUUCGAAUCUGUCGUGCAUGUUUCAGAUCUAUAAGGUAAGAUUUUCUUGGGUUGAUUUCGUUAAUGUAUUUUUUUUUAUAAUUUUUAUUUAACUUUGAUUUACAUAUUUGUUAUUUUUUAAUGAUGUUUUAUUAAGAUUUUAUUCAUUUUUCUUAUUAUUUUUUGUAGGUUUCUAAUCUUUCACAUCUUCAUGCUCUAAAUGGAAGGUUUAUAUUUUGUUUUUAUUUGUCUUCUUCCUUCUUACUUUUUUGUUCCUAAUAUUUUAUCUUAUAUUUUAUCUUUUUUAUUUCAUA